rnacentral:lncRNA from 1 species
UGAAGCUCUGUGCUCUACUUACAUUUUAAUAAUUAUGAGGCAAGUACAACCCUAAUUUUGCAAGUUAGCAGCCAAAAUUAAUUUUAACGACUUCCAAAAUAACAUAUCUCAACCCGAGGUUGUAUCAUUGCUUUGCGCUACAUUAAUUACAAAUUAUACUUCUGUUGAAAGUGGAGAGAGAGAGAGAGAGAGAGAGAGAGAGAGAGAGANNNNNNNNNNNNNNNNNNNNGAGAGAGAGAGAGAGAGAGAGAGAGAGAGCCUAUUUAUGCUAGUUUUCCUGCACACUCCGCAUGCAUGAAUGCUAGUCAGGGUACAUGAUCGCUAGAGCUUAGAAGAUAAAAUCGAAAAAGUUUAUACCAUUUCCCUCCAGCUAACACUAGCAAAAAACUAAAAAAAAAGGAAAAAGAAAAAACUUACCAUGAACGCUAUUAGCUUACUUUAGCUUCUUCAUUCUAC